rnacentral:rRNA from 1 species
AAGUGGGGAUGACGUCAAGUCCUCAUGGCCCUUAUGUCCAGGGCUACACACGUGCUACAAUGGCCGGUACAAAGGGCAGCAAAGCCGCGAGGUGGAGCCAAUCCCAGAAAGCCGGUCUCAGUUCGGAUUGGAGUCUGCAACUCGACUCCAUGAAGUUGGAAUCGCUAGUAAUCGCGGAUCAGCAUGCCGCGGUGAAUACGUUCCCGGGCCUU